rnacentral:rRNA from 1 species
UACGUAGGGUGCAAGCGUUAUCCGGAAUUAUUGGGCGUAAAGAGCUCGUAGGCGGUUUGUCGCGUCUGCUGUGAAAACUGGGGGCUCAACCCCCAGCCUGCAGUGGGUACGGGCAGACUAGAGUGCGGUAGGGGAGAUUGGAAUUCCUGGUGUAGCGGUGGAAUGCGCAGAUAUCAGGAGGAACACCGAUGGCGAAGGCAGAUCUCUGGGCCGUAACAGACGCUGAGGAGCGAAAGCGUGGGGAGCGAACAGG